AGUCCACACUAGCCUAACCCUAGUUACCUUUCUCCCAUCUCCCGUGCCAACCAUAGCCGCCGCCACUUCACCUUCCUCCUCUCGCCGCUCCAUGUCGGCGCCGGCGGCGCCGGCCCUAAACCACCCCCCGCCGGGCCCCUCCACAUAUAUACUGCUUCGGACCCCUACCCGUCUACCCCACUUCACGCCCCUCCCCAUUCAGAUCGGCCCCUCGAGCUAUUGCAAUCCAGUCAUACCCCUCGAUCUGAGGCGGUGGCCGUGGGACCAACUGCCAGAUUUCUACGUCCCUGUCGUCGCUGACGGCGUGCAUUGAUCGAGCUCCAUCUGGCGGCGAGCUGAGGUGAGGUACAGGAGGUGGCAACACCGCCACGGAUCCAGAGUACAUCAGCGGCCCUUGUGGCUCGGUCCAAUUGUCCGUCAGCCGCGCCACCGUCGGUCCCCUCGUCGUCGCGGUCGUCUUCUCCAUCCGUGGUGCGCAGCCUCCUCUAUGCGUCGCCGUUCACCUUCUCCGGCCGGAAAGAGCCAAUUUUGUAGGUACAUUUUACUGCAGUGUCCAAUGUUUCUGCAUGCACAUAAUGGUGAUGGAUCCCACAUCGGUCAGUGCAUCUAAUGGUAUUUGUACAGCUAAAAACAUUUUUUACUUGGUGAUGAUAUCUGCACUGCCCUUUCCUGGACAUGCCUUUUAUGUUAUGCAUACACUUUACUCAAACAUCUAUUUGCCCUUAUGUUCUGAUAGGGCUCAGUUUGUAUUUGUGAAGUAUAAUGUUUUCUAGAAGUAAGCUUGACUGAAAAUACACAUAAUUCAGUGCUUGUUCUUCUAACUAAAAAUUCAGUCCAUGAUUCUGGUCCUAUACUUACUGAAAUGAUUACUAUAGAAGUCACAAAGCUUUCAAAUUCAAGAAUAAGGAGAGUACUUUCUGUUUUCUUUCCGCCAUUUUCUUUUCAUAUAAAUAUGACAUUUAUUGUUUAUAGUUAAUGGGCUUGUUUUAGCUAUGCAGUUUUCAACAUAUAUGAUUUCUGGUUAAUGGAUAAUAAACUUUCAUGUAGCUAUCGACUGCCCACACAUGUAGCUGUACAAUUUAAUCUCGAGAUACAUCAUAUACAUGCAAUUCUUUAUUUCUCUCUGUCUCGUUCUAUAGGUACCUAAAAUACUUGACGAAGAUGCAAAAUGAUAAACAAGCCGCUUGAAGUUCCAUGUGGUGUGUCUAAUCUUAAUUUUUCAUGACAAUUAAACUGAUAGUAUUUUGUACGAUGGAUCAAAACUCAUAGUGCUCUAAUUCAUCUGCAAUUCUAUAAUUGCAAUGUACUUAACUCCUGCACAGGGACUUGAAAAGGCAACAAUAUUGAAAAAUCUAGCAGGAAUUACUUGGGUAAUUACUUAAGCCAUGCAAUAAAUUAAAUUUGUACUUCUCUGCAUCAUGUAUAAUGUUUGUUAGUGAUGCCAUUGUUUUUGGCGUAUAUACUUUGUUAUUCUCAUUUGUAGGCAUUGUAAAAUCCCAGAACUUAGGGAAAAAUCGUAUGUGCUGUGCAUUUUUGUGUCUUUCCAGAGCCGAAAGAGAAAAGUAGAAUUGCACCUCUUCUUACUGCCUAAUAAAAGGGAAUGUAGCUGCUUGAUAUAUCGGGAAAAGGGAGUUAACCACUUUAUUUAUUACUGGAUGUCGCUUUAAGUUCUAGCAUUUUUAUCUUUCUGUAUUGUCGAAAUAGUGUUCCUUGGCUGACAUAUUUCAUGACCUUCAUCAACGACGGCAAUCACUACUGCAUUCUCACACUACAGUACGUAUUCAGUCAUAAUUAUUUUAUAAUAGUUUAGAUAUACUUCCCUGGAAUAUUCUGCGGACCAUCGUUGGCUGUAUAGCUCUUUUGUUCAUAAUUACUUCCAGCCUGGUUUGUUAUUUCUUGCAUUACUGGUAGAGAUCAGAUUGCCAUAGACCAUCAUAUAAGUUCUAUGUUUGAUUGAUUUCCUCUUAUCCAAUUCUAAAUGUAGUAAUCAAAAUUUGCAUUUGUUUCAUGUAGGAUCUGUUAUGAAAAUCCAGUGGUAGUGGUUAUAGUUUAUUAAAUUAUGUUAAGUGCAGUGUAACUUUGGAAGUAUCUCCACCUUGAACAUUUCAUUUAAUUCUUGUUUUCUCUACCAUUCCAAAUUAACUGAAUUUGACAAAUUUUAAAGGAAGCUAUAUCAACAUCUUCACUACAGAAUUAGUUUCAUUAGAUUCAUCACAAAAUAUAUUUUUGUAAUAUAGAGUCCACUUGCUGUUCUUGAUACUUUAAUGUAUCUAUUAGGAAGUUUGUUACAGGUUUCCAUGGUGGUGAGAGCAUAUUGUAACAGAAGCAUAUUGUUUUUUACAGGUUUCCUUGGUGGUGAGAGGCGCAUAGGAAGUUUGAGCUACGGAGGUGAACUUGAUGAUUAAGAGGGUCUGUACAGUGUUCCAUAUUUGUAAUAUAGUGUAAUUAUUAUUCAGGGCAUGUGAACUGAUGUUGGAUGUGUACUUGGGCACAUUUUAGAAGGCCUUUACUUAGUGAAAUAAUUGGAUAGAAAUUUGUGAAAUGGCCAAACAAUGGACCUGUUCAAUGGAAAUUAAUUGUGUUGCGAAA